UCCCUCGACAUCCUGGUCACAACCACGUGUGGGAGUUUGACAUCGAGCUGGGAAACAUCGCGGAAGAUGCCAGAGACGAUCCUGAGGUCGGGGAGCUCCGUUGCAGCUUCAAUCACAGACUCUGUGACUGGAUGUCUGACAGUGAGGGAGAUCUACACUGGGAGACGGUUCACAGUCCUGCAGGUGGGUGGUACUUAUCUGUCCCCGAGCUGAAGGCGGGACAGACGAGCAUCCGUGGUGCUCGACUGGCCAUCCAGGUAGUCCCUUCGUGGAGCCAUGGCGACCUGUGUCUCUCCUUCUCCCAUUGGUUGACGGGGCAUCACGUGGGCGUGCUGCAGCUGUUCG